rnacentral:lncRNA from 1 species
GGCAGUGGCAUCUCUGUGUGUGUGCUUAACUGUGUGCGUGUGUAUGUGUGUGUGUGUGUGUACUUCAGGGCAUCUCUGCACCCCAGCAGACAGCAGCAGAACACAGGUCAUCAAUGGAACUGUCAGAUGAUCCAAGGUCAAGGGAGCAAGACGAGGCUCCCCCAACACCGCUGCCCUAUGUGUCCCAACUGAAAACCAGCAGUUACAGUGCAAUCCAGCAGCAUGGCUACUCUGCAUCCAUCUACCUGCGAAACAAAGAAAAGCUGGAAAGGGCAGUUUGACGUCCAGAGGGCACCUGUCCUAGACAGGCAAAGCAAUUUUCCCUGUUAAGUUUUUAUUCCACUACUACAAGAUCUCUUCUUGAUAUGUCUUUUUUUUAGUUAAAAUUCGAACUUUGUACUCUGUAUACUUUUGGGGUAUUAAUGUAUUUGAAACUUUGAAGAAAAAAUGUAUUCAUUAGUAUUAGUUGUAUUAAAGGAGUCAAAUCAAAAUUAUUUUAAAUGUGUAAUUUAAAGUAGCAGCUAAAUACAUCAAAAGGCUAGUUACAUCAGGUUGUAGGAACAGCUGAUACCAACACUCUACAGCACAAAUUGCUUGUUUGAUGGGUUAAUUUGUGAUAAACAGUCCACAAAGUUAUGGAAUGCUACCACUGUUGCAAUUUUUUGCUGUGUGUAGCCUACAGAGUCUGCACAUAAAUGUUACUUCAAGCAGUUCUAUCUUACUAUAUCAGUAGCGUAAUUUACUGACCUGUCUCAUAGAGUCAUUCUUAUUUGCUCCCAGCCAUGCAAAUACAUCUGUUUUUGCCUAAGAGAGUGAAUGUAGCAAAGACUCCUCCAGCCUCUGUGGCAUAGCUAAAUGCUAAUACUUUUGUGGCAAGAAUGUUACUAACAUGCAUCUAUAUAAAUGCUGAGUGAGACAACUGCAUCUGCUGAUUAGCACAGCUGAGGUACACCUCAGGCUGAUGGGAGUUUUAUUUUUGCAGGUAUUUGUUCAUCAAUUAAACAAUGUUUAAAUUAAAAAUUGCACCGGAUGAUGGCUCUGCAUAAGAUUUCAGGGAGUGGCUAAAGUUACUACAGUUCAUCAUGAAGGAGAUAUGAAAUUUAAAGCAUUUUUUUUUUACUGAUGAAAUUGUUGGUAUGUAUAACUUAAAAUUAGAAAAACUAACACAUUUCUUUAAAGUUUACUU